UUUCCGUAGGUGAACCUGCGGAAGGAUCAUUAAUGAGUUGUCAUGGGGUUCGAUGCUGGCAGCCAAUUUUUGGAUGCAUGUGCUUGCCCUAACAAUCAUCUUCCAAACACCUGUGCACAUUUUUGAGGGAGUCUUGAGUUGGUUGCCGCUCUAGGGUGAUUUUCUCACAUUCCCUUAAAUCAUUAUACGCUAUUAACAAUGUUGAACGUGCUCUGUGCCGCAAGGCUAUUAAUAUAAUACAACUUUUAACAACGGAUCUCUUGGCUCUC
rnacentral:misc_RNA from 1 species